AAUAAACGAAUUUCUGUGUUUUUUGAUAGAAUUUUUGACUCUUCGUUUUAUUUGAAAUUUUUUUAUGAUUUAUAUUUUUAUUGUUAUUAUAUGAUAAAACAUAAGUAGUACUUUACAUACGACUAUUUUUUUUAAUUUUUUAAUAAAUUCUUUAAAUAAAACGGAUGGUCAAACGCUAGACAUACAAAACC
rnacentral:pre_miRNA from 1 species